rnacentral:lncRNA from 1 species
CAUUUUUGAGGUUAUCGUUAAUUUGGUAACUCCGAUCCUUUUUAAUUUUUUUGUGAUUAUUUUUAAUUUAUUCUUUUAGAAGUAUGCAAAAUUUGAGUCAAGAUCAACGGUUUAUUUAUUAGUUAUUGAAGUUUAAAUCUAUUAUAGGGAUUACUAGGAUUUGGUUUAGAGUUUAGGAUUUUUAUUAGGAUUUGAUUUAGAGUUUGGUUAGGAUUUGAUUAGGAUUUGGUUUAGGAUUUAAGAUUUGGAUUAGGAUUUGGUUAGGAUUUGAUUUAGAGUUUAGGGUUUAGUUAGGAUUUGGUUUAGGAUUUGGUUAGGGUUUGAUUUAAGAUUCGAUUGAGGUUUGGUUUAAGGUUUGUUUAGGAUUUGAUUUAGGAUUUAGGAUUUUAUUAGGAUUUAAGAUUCAAUUAGUUUUGGCCUAAAAUUUGAAUAAAAUUCAAUGAAAUUUUAAUUAGAAUUAAAUUAAGAUUGAAUUGAGAUGUUUUUGAGUGAUAUUUGUAAUCCUUCUAAUAUUUCUUUAAGAAUUCUUAUUGUUUGUUUGAAAUUUCUUUGAGAUUUUUUUGAAUUUGAUUAUGCUUGUUUAGCAUUAUUAUGGUCUAAUUAGAGGAUUUUUAGUACUUUAUUAGAAUUAAGAUUUUGUUAUUGCAAUUACUAUUCUUCCUUCUACAGCUAGGUGUUUGGAGCAUUCUUAAGUAAGACUUCAUGUAUUACAACAUAUUUGGUGAACUCGACGUGAAAUACUUGAGGUGGAAGGAAUUUAGUUUUUUUGGAUUAUUUGAAUUUUGGAGAAGAAAUACAAGAAAGUUAGAAGAAGAGCUUUGGGUGAUAUGUAAAUUGAAGCUUUUGAAUUUUUUGAGUUUUGGAGACUAUCUUAAUAUAAAAUGAUAAUAUUUGGAUUAUUAUGGAGUAUUAUAAGGCUUUAUAGAUAUGUUG